rnacentral:rRNA from 1 species
CAGUAGCCACGGUAAUACAAAGGGGGUUAGCGUUGUUCGGAUCUACUGGGCGUAAAGGGUGCGUAGGCGGACUGAUAAGUCAGGGGUGAAAUCCCAAGGCUCAACCCUGGAACUGCCUUUGAUACUGGGAGUCUUGAGUUCGAGAGAGGUGAGUGGAAUUGCGAGUGUAGAGGUGAAAUUCGUAGAUAUUCGGAGGAACACCAGUGGCGAAGGCGGCUCACUGGUCCAUUACUGACGCUGAGGUGCGAAAGCGUGGGGAGCAAACAGGAUUAGAUACCCCUGUAGUCCCUGUCUCUUAUAC